ACUGCAUCUUGGGCCAUUUGCCACAAGAAUACCUGAAUUUUAAGUGGAAGCUUUGCUUCCCAGAUCCACUUAUAGUUGCAACCACUGAGAGGUUUUUCCAGCCACUUAUACAUAGAUUUAGUAAAGUACCUAGCAUUCUUACUAAGCCCCCAAUAAACUGUAUCUCUAUCAGUAGAGAUAUUAAGCCCUGCGACUUGCUCACGCAUCUUGUCCCAUUGCUCCUUCAAACCAGGGCAAGGACGACGCCUAAAAAAGGUUGACAUUACAACACUGCCAAAUCUCUUCCCUGUGCAGUCGUGAUCUGUACAUAUUUCAAAUAGUUGUGGGAAUAUCAAAUUGAGCGGAGGAAGCCCAUUUAUAGGGUCUUUCCACACCCUGGUAAGGUCACCAGCACCCAGUUUGAUUCGUCUCCCCACCAUGCUCAGUGUGUCGUGUGUACAUGUUAACUCUUAAUCACCUUGCAUGCAUGCAACCAAACACCGAGCAUUUGCACGCAACCAAACGACAAGCAAAAAAAUGCACGCAACCAAACGACAAGCAAAAAAAUGUUCCUCUAAUGCAGACAACAUAUAUGCACGCAACCAAAUUAAGUGAAGAUAAUGUUUUUUUGCCUGCAUAUGCUCAACCAGGCUCAACUGGCACAAGUAUGCAAAUGGCCAAAAAGCGAUGCAGGUAACCAAACACAUCCCCAGUGUAUAUGUUCGAAACAAAAUACAAAAUCUACAAAAAAAAUCAUUUUUUUGGGAGAAACAUUGACAAAAGUUUUAAGUGCUUGCAAAAAUUCGUCUUGAAAUCACAUUCCUAGAAGGCGUGGCAAAAAAAGGUACUCCUAAAAUGCUACUUUCAAAAGCAUUUUAGAGCACUGAAUUUGUUUUUUUUGCCACGCCUUUCACCGAGCUCAUUUGAGCUCGCGAGCAGAAAUGUACUUUCGGUGUACUUGAGCCUUUUUGUGCAUAAGCUUGUUCUAUAUGCUUGUCAUUGAUGGACAUUGUUUGCUUGUUAUUGUUCACAAUUCUGUUCAAUUUAAUUUCUUGUUUGAAUGAAAAUAUCUGAAAAAACAAAAGGAAUCAAUGAGACAGACAAAAACCGGAAACGAGGAUGCAGUUGCUUUGCUCCCAAAAGUUUUCAUCUUCUAUCCUUCGAACAGCUCCGACAGGUGACGGCGGAGCUCCUCCGCGCCGCGGCCGGCGGGCACGUUAACCUCCGGGUGGCUGUCCAGAUACCGGCGGUACGCCGGCACGACGGUCUCGGACACGGCCAUCCGGAGGUCACCCCUGAGCACGGGGCUGGGCACCUUCCAGCCUGUCUGCAUGCUGCACGCGUUCUGGAACGCCGAGUGGAACGCGCUCAGCGGGUGCCGUCGCCGCAGAGCGUUCAUGGCUCCAGGCUUCCCGCCAAGGCGCGACACCACGGGCGCCCAGGAGACUCGCAGGUAAUCUCUGAUGUAGCCCUCCAUGCGCUCCUCGCGGGCGCCGGCCCAGCCAGGCGGCAGGAGCAUGCCGAUGGCGUCGGAGCGCACGGCGCAGCGCACGAUGGCGCUCGUGUUGUUGAGCAUGAACACCUGCCUCAGCCCCGGGAAGGCGAGCGCGGCGGACUUGUCCUCGAGCGCCGCCUCCAGGCACGAGAUCAGCUCCGUGACCAGGCUGGCCUCGUCCUGGUCGCCGCCGGCGAGGACGAAAUAGAGGGGCACGCGGUUGCGCAGCAUGCAGCGCAGGUAGCCCAUCCAGAACCCGACGCUCGGGUGCUCCUCGCCGCCCUGCGGCAUCCGCCACGGGUACUGCGGUGCGCGUAUGAAGCCCCUGAGGUCGCGCACGCAGCGCCGGGACGCGUCCAGCAGGCCGGCCAGCGCAGCAUCACGCCGACGCUGCCGGCCUGCUGGACGCGUCCCGGUGCCGGUCAGCCUCAGCAUCACGCCGACGCUUUCGCCCGCUAGCUCCGCCGCCGCGGCGUCGCUGGCCGGGCUGCGGACCUCCAGGUUGUGCCGGCCUCGGAAGACGCGGUCCAUGGCGCCCAGCGCCUGCGCCCACGCCCUGAUCCUCCCCCCGACCUCCCGCCGCGGGAGGCCGUGGUCAGUCCCGCUCCCGGGGCCCAUGUCCAGCACCCAGCCAACGUCGAAGCCGGCGAUCCAUUGACGCAGAGCGCCCGCGCGUGCCGCGGCGGUGGAGGAGAAGGCGGGGAGGAGGAGGGCCAUGCGCUGCAGGUGCUUGUAGUCGUCGCCGCACAGUGGGCUGGAGGAGGACGGAGAGGUCGGGCGGAAACGCGAGAAGUGGCGCCGGGACUCGCGUGGGACGUCGGGGCAGUGCUCGUCGGUGCUGGUGGAUCCGCCGUCGCUGUCGGAGGGGCCGGAGGGGGAGGCGGCCGGGCUGCUGCCUCCGCUGCUGGAGCCGAGCCGGAAGUCGUCGGCGACCCAGAUGCGCGCGUGCAUGGCGGCUUCCCGCGCGCAUGCAGGGGUCGAUCAGUCAAUGGAGAAGAAAGAAACCACUAGCGACCUAUGGCUGGCGUGAGGGCAACGAGCGCGUGCGUGCAGGAACGGGUUGUGCCGGGGAUGAGGAAGAAGACGUGCACGCGGGGUUGCGCUUUCGCUUGAUUGGCU
rnacentral:rRNA from 1 species